rnacentral:rRNA from 1 species
UGUGUAGGCUGUUCCGUAAGUAUGGUGUGAAAUCUCCCGGCUUAACUGGGAGGGUGCGCUAUAAACUGCGGGACUAGAGUGCGGGAGAGGAAAGUGGAAUUCCUGGUGUAGCGGUGAAAUGCGUAGAUAUCAGGAGGAACACCGGUGGUGUAAACGGCUUUCUGGACCGUAACUGACGCUGAGACACGAAAGCGUGGGUAGCAAACAGGAUUAGAUACCCUGGUAGUCCACGCCCUAAACGAUGCAUAUUUGGUGUGGGCCAUUCAGUUGGUCCGUGCCGGAGCUAACGCGUUAAAUAUGCCGCCUGGGGAGUACAGUCGCAAGGCUGAA